rnacentral:lncRNA from 1 species
CCAACCUGGGCAACGUAGAGAGACCCUGUCUCAAAAUAAAAAGAGCUGGGGAUAAUGCUAAGCGAUACAGCACCCCUGGGUUCAAUCCCCAGUACCUCAAAGAAAAACAGAAAGAAAGAUAAUAGUAUUGAAUAAGCAGAAGAAAUUAUCCAAUCUGAAGAACAGAUAAGAAUGGAUACAAAUGAAUAGAGCCUGAAAGACUCAAGGGACUCCAUCAAGCAUCAAUAGCAUGCUAAUCACAGGAAUUUGAAGUACUAGGAAAGAAGAGAAGAAAAAGGAGCAAAAAGAAUAGUUGAUAAAAUAAUGGCUGAAAACUUCCCAAUUUUGUUGAUAAACAUUAAUAUACACAUCCAAUAAGGAUCAACAAAUUCCAAAUUUGAUAAACUCAGAGAUCCACUUUGAAGCACAGCAUGUCAAAAAAACAAAGGAAAAGCCAGAUGCAGUGACACACAUGUAUAACCCCAGCAACUCGGAAAGCUGAGGCAGGAGGAUUACAAGUUCAAGGCCAGCCUCAGCCACUUAGCAAGGCCCUAAGCAAUUUAGCAAGAUCUUGUCUCAAAAUAAAAAAAUGUUUAAAAGAGCUGGGGAUGUAACUCAGUGGUAAAGCACCCUUGUGUUCAAUACCUAGUAACAAAAAAUAUUAAUGAUAAUUAAAUUUAAAAGAACUAGGGGUAUGAUUCAGUGGUAGAGGGUCUCUCCAGCAUCAAUCAACAGUACUAAAAAAAAAAAGGUAAAAAAUGUUGAGUAGCAAAAGAGAAGCAACUCAUCACAUGCAGGGUAUCCACAAGAAGAUUAACAGCUGACUUCUCAAUAGAAAUGGGGGAAGCCAUGGGCCAGGGCUGUAGCUCAGUGGUAGAACACUUGCCUAGCAUGGUCAAGGCCCUGGGUUCCAUCUGUGCCAUGGGGAAAAAUUAAUAAAUAAAUAGAUGAUGGAAGCCAAAGAGCAGUGGAUCAAGAGAAUUGGAAAAUGCUAGAUAAUCAGGCACAUGUGUAGCCUGAUUGGAGAAUCGACAUUGUUUUCAUUUGCAGACAACACAAUUGUAUAUCUAGAAAUCCAGUGAACCCUAGAAAAAAGAUUACUAGAGCUAAUAGGCAAGUUCAGCAAGGUUGAAGGAUUAAUAUACAAGAAUUCUUUUUCCAUAUGCAAAUAGUGAAAAACUGGGAAUUAAAAUUAAUAAUUAAUAAAAUGCCAUUUAUGAUAACAUCAAAAAUGUGAAAUACACCGGGUACAUGCCUAUAAUCCCAGUGGCUCAGGAGUUUGAAACAAGAGAAUUGUGAGUUCAAAGCCAACCUCAGCAAAAAGCAAGGCACUAGGCAACUCAGUGAGACCCUACAAAAAAAUAGAGCUGGGGAUAUGGCUCAGGGGUUGAGUCCCCCUGAGUUCAAUCCCAGUAUCCCCCCCCCCAAAAAAAUGUGGAAUACCAAUAAAGAUGUGAGUCUACUGCGCUGGAAACUACAAAACAUUGCUGAGAAAUUAAAGAAGACAUAAACAGAUAAGCCUUCACAUGGUUCAGAACACUUAUAUUGUUCAACUGUUUGAAAUGCACUAGUCAGGUGUUCUUAGUAGAUCCACGGAAUUGUGUAACCACAAUGUAUAGAACAUUUUUGUCCACAUAAAAAAGUUAUUUAUCAAUAACUCCCGCUUCCCUUAGCUCUCUCUCAGCCCUAAGCAACAACUAACCUACUUUAUAUUACUACAGAUUUGCUUAUUCCAGAUAUUUCCGAUAAAUGGAGGCAUUCAGUAUCUGGUCUUUUGUGAUUGGCUUGUUUCUCUUAACAUAAUUUUUUCAAGGUUCAUCCAUAUUGUAGCACGAUUCAGUAUUUUAUUCCUUUCAAUUCCCAAACACUGUGCUGUUGUAAGAGCACAUCACAUUUCAUUUAUCUA